rnacentral:rRNA from 3 species
CGACCUGACCUCAGGCAAGAUUACCCGCUGAACUUAAGCAUAUCAAUAAGCGGAGGA